rnacentral:rRNA from 1 species
ACGGAAGGCAGCAGUAGGGAAUAUUGCACAAUGGGGGGAACCCUGAUGCAGCAACGCCACGUGUGGGAAGAAGCAUUUCGGUGUGUAAACCACUGUCGUGAGGGAAUAAUGCUUGGCUCCGGCCAAGUUGAAUGUACCUCGAAAGGAAGCACCGGCAAACUUCGUGCCAGCAGCCGCGGCAAUACGAGAGGUGCAAGCGUUGUUCGGAAUCACUGGGCGUAAAGGGAGCGUAGGCGGAGACGCAAGCAGUCUGUACAAUACCGGGGCCCAACCCCGGACCUGCAGACUGGACUGUGUCUCUUGGAUAGUUCAGGGGCUGGCGGAAUUCCUGGUGUAGCGGUGGAACGCGUAGAGAUCAGGAAGAACACCGAUGGCGAAGGCAGCCAGCUGGGGACUUAUCGACGCUGAGGCUCGAAAGUGCGGGUAGCAAACAGGAUUAGAUACCCUGGUA